rnacentral:rRNA from 1 species
GACGAACCGUGCGAACGUUAUUCGGAAUCACUGGGCUUAAAGGGCGCGUAGACGGGCGACCGCGUCGAUGGCUGAAAGCCCCCGGCUCAACCGGGGAACGGGCCUCGAUACGGGUCGCCUCGAGUGGAGGAGGGGGACCUGGAACUGCCGGUGGAGCGGUGAAAUGCGUUGAGAUCGGCAGGAACGCCUGUGGCGAAAGCGAGGUCCUGGACUCUGACUGACGUUGAGGCGCGAAAGCCAGGGGAGCGAACGGG